AAAGAGAGCUCCUUCACUGCAGUGCAGCUUGGAUCAGAUCCAAAAGACUCGCAGGCAGGAGGCAGACUGGAAAAAAAAGAUGCAGACAAUAGGUUGCUUUGUACUACUGCCCAAUGACCUACUUUUGAAACCGCUUGGAAAGAAAUACGUGUUCCCAACUGCAGGCCCCUGGCAAAGGCUGGCACCACCUGUGCAGUCAGGCCAGUCACAAGAUAAUUUCUGUUUUAUUGAGCUUUGCAUUUAUUUAUAUACAGUUCACAGUCAGCUGCUCGAUGAUUUUUAUUCACCGAGAGCUACAUAGUGGUGUGUAUGUUAAAUACAUAGACUUUGUAUUUAUGUUGUAUAACCACAACAUAAACAGAUCUCCUGUGUCUGUAUCAAAUUCAGGUAAUAAAAUAUUUUCUGAAGAAAUUCUGAGGUAAAGCUGAAAUUCAGUAAAACGAAGUCACCAGGCCAUCACCUCCAGCUUGGGAGAUUGUUCUGUACACAUGAUGUGUGAAAAUAAGGCAGAAUCUGGCCCACAAUGUAGAAACAGUACAUUCUGUCUUAAGAAGCUAUAUGUAUUCAGCCCACCUCCUACCCAGAAACAAAAGAGGUGGGCUCCAUACAGGCAUGGCUGUAUGUAGUAGCAUAGAUGGAUACUGAAAAUUAAUAAUUAGGAGAAUUAAACAAAUCCAAUCAGUAGAGACUGCAAAAUGGUGGCCUGUGAGGAGUAUGUUGCCUGCAGGCUAUGGAGAUUAGUUUAAUUCUGCUAGGCCCAGGAGCUGCGUG